rnacentral:lncRNA from 1 species
AAUCAUAAAAAAGUCAAUAACAAUUACAAAAAAAAAACUUCACAAAAAAAAAAAAUAAUUUUUUUUAUUAAUAAAAUAAAUAUAAAAUACAGAAAAUAUAAAAAAUCAAAACAAAUCAUUCACGAGAAUCAUCUGAAGAUAAUGAUUUUUUCUAAUCUGAUUUAGAGUAAUCAUAACCCAUAGACUAACUGCUAUUUUGGAUUUUUUUAAUAUGUUAUCUUUUGUGUUUGUGUUGGUUGGAUUUGGGAAAGUUCAGGAUUGUUAAAAAGAAUAAUGUAUAUUAAUGAUAGCUUGAGGGUAGCCGGUUUAUAGCACUCAAUGCACGCUAUUCCUUAGUCGCUUUUAUAAAACAAUAUAUAAUUUUAUUCUUGAUUUUUGGGAAUUUUAUGAUUUGUUCUGAUUUUAAUGAUUUUAUAUUUUCUGAAUUUUAUACUUAUUUUAUUAAUUAAAUA